rnacentral:misc_RNA from 1 species
GAUGAAGAACGCAGCGAAAUGCGAUAAGUAAUGUGAAUUGCAGAAUUCAGUGAAUCAUCGAAUCUUUGAACGCACAUUGCGCCCGCCAGUAUUCUGGCGGGCAUGCCUGCUCGAGCGUCAUUUCAACCAUCAAGCCCCAGGCUUGUGUUGGAGCCCUGCGGCUGCCGCAGCCUCCCAAAACCAGUGGCGGGCUCGCUAUCACACCGAGUGCAGUAGUUUACUCUUCGCUCAGGGCGUGUGGCGGGUGCUAGCCGUAAAACCCCCAACUUCUCAAGGUUGACCUCGGAUCAGGUAGGAAUACCCGCUGAACUUAAGCAUAUCAAUAAGCGGAGGA